GUACAAUCUGAGUCAUAAAGUAGUCGUACUUUAUCAGCAACUGUUCAUGGCCGAUUGGUCACAUGACCUAGCUGGAGCCAUUCUAACGAAACAUCGCGCGUCCUGGGAUAGCAUUUGUCGCUUUCUGUGAAUUACCUCCCUUGAUCAAAGAUGGCUAAUUGUGGGUGGCUGUGGAGUUUCAUCUGGUUCAUUAUCCUGAUCGUCUUUGGUUGGCCAAUCGGAUUCUUCUGUGCCGUCUUCUACGUUCUGCUUAGUCCCUGUGCAGCCUGCUGUUCUGGAUGUGUAGAACUUAUAAAUUUAUUAGAGAGGGGUGUUAAACUGCCCCUCACAUGCGCACAGAACAUGGUCAGUGGGAAGUCCAUGUGUUGAGCUGGAUCACCAGGGCAUAAUGUGGCAAUUCGUAGAAGGAUGCUCACGUCUGUAGUCAAAUGACUUUCUUCAACCAAGCAAGACAGCUACAAACACAACACCCAACACCAUUGACCACUCCAAUCACCAAUGACAUCAUCAUUAGCAUGUUGAAGCGAUGAAGGAAGGAAUUGCAAUUUGACCGGAGGGACCACCCAACUACAGCCUAAGUGAAUAUUAGUUAUCAGUGUAGUCAAAGGUCCAGUGUACCUAUAUGGAUCGCUGUUACUGUUGUAGCUCCUGUUGGUUAUAUAUGCAUGUCCCGCAAGUAGAGCGGUAGUGUAGUGGGCUGAUUUCAGGAUUCUGAGGGAUUGGACUGUUAUCUAAUGUUUAUAUUAUAUUUUAUUAAGAAAUUUUAACUCUUUUAAGUUUGAAUCCAUGGAAGGAGAUUAUUGGGAAUUAACUAUGUCUUAUAUUCUGAUAUGUCUUCCUAUGUCGUUAUGAUGAUGCCUGUAAAAUCAGAUAAAUAUUAUAAUUUUUACAUUAGGUCAUUUUUUUGGGAUAGAGCAUUUUCGGCUUUUAUCCAAUCAGGGUGAUUCAUUACGUUCUGUCAUCCAUAAGUAAUUGAUAUUAAGUGUUAUACACUAUCAUGUAGUCAGGCACAGCUUGAUUAAUCACAAAUAAUCAGUAGCUUUUCUUAGUUGGAACGGCUGUUAUUAUGUACAGUGUAUUUUCUUUAUGCAAAAAUGAGCCUGUUUGCAAUAUUUUUAUAUAUCUGUGCCUUUUAAAAUGAAAUAAGGAUUGUUUUAGCCAAACAUUUAUGCAUUUAAUAACUUGUACUAGUUUUGAUAUUAAUGGUGCUAAGUAUGCUGCCGGUAUGUUACUGAUUCAUUGUUACAGAUCUAUUUCAAUAAUUAACAAGUCUUUCAAAUCUUAAAUAUUUUUCCUCGAUUCGAUGGAAACACUUUACCUCAGCCAUUGUUGAUUAAAACUAGUAGUUGAUGUUUGAUUGUUAGUGUAAAGCUUGUGCAUUGCUAAUGUGAUUAUAGUACUUAGGGCUGCAACAAUAGUGAAGACCAUUGUUUAGUAUGUAUGCAUAUGUCCCAGCUCACAAUAUGAUCCGUAUACACUGGGAACAAAAAAUUAUACAUCACAAAUCUUUAACCCACUUUAGAGACUCCCUUUGAAGUGGUCAAAGUUUUGCCAUGAAAUUGCUGGCCUAUUUAUGAUUGGCUAUUUGAACAGCAUGAUGUAGUCUGUUAUCCAAUGAAACAGCUUGUGGGAUAAAGCUGAGCUGAUGAAUUUAUGAAUUGACAGCUGCAAUGAGGAACAAUCUGCUGGAUGAUUGUUUGUUAGCACUGUAUCAUGACAUGUCUUGAGUCGAGGAUCAUUGCAAUCGUGACCCAUUCCACCACUCGUACUUUUACACAAGCAUGUAUUUUUAUCGUCUAGUGAAGUAGUUUUACACAUUUCGAUUGCUGUAGUUUCGAUAAAAGUAUGUUACCCCGACAUAAUUGGUGAUCUUGGUGAUUGUACAUUUGACAUCAUUUAUUGACUCCAAUGUAUUUUGUUUUCAACUGUAAUGUAAUAUAAUGCCGGUUGAUAUGUUUCACUGCUUCAUGUGUUCAGGUUAGUUGCUCAAUGUGCAUUUAGAGGAAGAUACCUAGAACCUUUCAACAAACUCAGAUGUGGAAUUUACAUAAACGUGUAAAGGGCUAAUUUCAAGAUACUGUUUUUAUUCAAUUUUCAGGGUGCCAAAAUAUGUUUGUUAUCAGCUUGGUUCCUUUCCACUGAAAAGGGGUGAUGGGGUGUCCUUGUGGUUAAAGCGUCCGCUUGUCACACAAACCUGGGUUCGAUUCCCCGCAUGUGAAGCCCAUUUCUGGUGUCCCCCGAUGUGAUGUUGCCAGAAUAUUGCUAAAAGCGGCAUAAAAACAUACCCACCCUCCUCUGAAAAUACCAAUCCGCAUGUCUACACCCUUCAUACUCAAGUUGAAGUAUAUUUCCGCACCUGGUAUUGGGCAUUCUUGUCUAGCUCUUCUACGUGUUGACAGACGUAAAUCUGAUUGUGAAGGAUGAUGUCUUGUGUUGUUGAUUGCUCAAUGACAAUGCACUACCUUUCUAUAUGCUGCACUUACUCAAGCAUGUCAUGUUCUUUGUGGCUUGCUGUGGUUUUUUUAAUAUUGAUCCGGGGGGUAAUCGUUUGAGUUCAGACCCGUGAAGAUUGGGGUAGAGAAUAGGUCUUCAGCAACCCAUGCUUGCCGUAAAAGGCAACUAUGCUUGUCGUAAGAGGCGACUAAUGGGAUCAGGUGGUCAGGCUCGCUGACUUGGUUGAUGCAUGUCAUCAUAUCCCAAUUGUUUGGAUCAAUGCUUGUGAUGUCAAUCACUGGAUUGUCUGGUCCAGACUCAAUUAUUUACAGACCACCAUCAUGUAGCUGGAAUAUUGCUGAAUGCAGCAUUAAACAACAAACAAAACAUUUGAGUUCACCUGUUAUACAGACUGCUGGAGAUUAAACAGAAUUACUUGUAUUCAGGUAUACUUGUCUUGUAUCACUCUUGAAAUGAUAUGUACCCAAGAUUGGUUGAUAUUCAUCUGUUGGACUUCCUUGUCCCAAACAGCCACAGGAAAGCAAAUAUUGAAUAAUAUGCACUUCCCCUGUUAUGUAUAUAUUCUCUUUUGCUGUCCACUAUUCGCUACAGAGCUGAUCAGGCUGAAGAUACUUGCACUCCAGUGACACCCUUGCUCCAGAUAUUGCUGCUAUCCGCUCAGCUUGUUUUAAAUGUGAAAUCUCACCAGAAAACUGUUGUUUGUUUUCUGUAUGUUAUGUGAUGAUUUAAACCGAUUUGUCCAGUGAUUGCUUUUACACAUCUUUUUUUUUUUUUUUAAAUUGAUAUUGUGUAAUCUGUCUACAUGUUUAUACUGCUUCAAAUAAAAUCAUUUAUCUGA